CCUACGGGAGGCUGCAGUGAGGAAUAUUGGUCAAUGGGCGAGAGCCUGAACCAGCCAAGUCGCGUGAGGGAAGACGGUCCUAUGGAUUGUAAACCUCUUUUGUCGGGGAGCAAAAAGGCCUCGUGAGGCCACAAGUGAGAGUACCCGAAGAAAAAGCAUCGGCUAACUCCGUGCCAGCAGCCGCGGUAAUACGGAGGAUGCGAGCGUUAUCCGGAUUUAUUGGGUUUAAAGGGUGCGUAGGCGGACUGGAAAGUCAGCGGUAAAAUCGAGAGGCUCAACCUCUUUCCGCCGUUGAAACUGUCGGUCGUGAGUGGGCGAGAAGUAUGCGGAAUGCGUGGUGUAGCGGUGAAAUGCAUAGAUAUCACGCAGAACCCCGAUUGCGAAGGCAGCAUGCCGGCUUCCGACUGACGCUGAAGCACGAAAGCGUGGGGAUCGAACAGGAUUAGAUACCCUAGUAGUC
rnacentral:rRNA from 1 species